AUGAGGAGCCACCUCUCCCACUGCUUCUGGCUCCUCGUCGCGCUGUGCUUCCUCUACCGGCGCGCGGCGGCUGAUCCUCGUCUCCCCGUGCGAGCGGUGAACCUCGGCGGCUGGCUCGUGACGGAGGGCUGGAUCCUGCCGUCCCUCUUCGACGGCAUCCCCAACAAAGACCUCUUGGACGGCACGCAGCUGCAGUUCAAGUCGGUGACGCAGAACGGCUAUGUGGCCGCGGAGAAGGGCGGCGGCGCGGGGCUGGUGGCGAACCGGUCUCAGGCGUCUGGCUGGGAGACCUUCAAGCUAUGGCGGAUCAACGAGACGACGUUCAAUUUGAAGGUGUUCGGGAACCAGUUCGUCGGCGUCCAGAGCGACGGCUCGGUGGUGGCCACGGCGACGUCGCCGGGGAAGUCUGAGACGUUCCGGUUGGUGCGCAACGCCGGCAAGGACAGGAUGCGGAUUAUGGCGCCAAACGGACUCUUCUUGCAGGCAAACAAAGACAGUACAGUGACAGCGGACUACGGGAAGAGCACAAGCUGGGGCGACGACGACCCGUCGGUGUUCGCGGUGACCAGAGUGACGGGGCUACAAGGGGAGUACCAAAUCUGCAACGGAUAUGGGACGGCAAAGGCCACGCCAAUUCUCAAGAACCACUGGAGCACGUAUAUAGUGGAAGAUGACUUCAGGUUCAUAUCUGAAAGCGGGCUGACCGCGGUGAGGAUACCAGUGGGAUGGUGGAUCGCUAGCGACCCCAGUCCUCCAGCACCUUACGUCGAAGGUUCGCUUCAAACCUUGGACAAGGCAUUCAAAUGGGCAGAGGAGUACAAUCUGGGGGUCAUCAUCGACCUACACGCAGCUCCUGGGUCACAAAACCCCUUCGAGCACAGCGCCUCCAAGGAUGGCUCGCAGGACUGGGGCACCAGCGCCGCUAACAUCGCACAAACCGUACAAGUGAUAGAUUUCCUUGCAUCCAGGUACGCUGCGAGCCCGAGCCUCCUCGCAGUGGAGCUGCUGAACGAGCCGCUAGCGCCAGGCGCGUCCCUUGAGAGCCUGAAAACGUACUACCGCGACGGGUACAAUGCCGUCAGGAAGCACUCGUCGGAGGCCUACGUGAUCAUGUCCAAUCGGUUGUCAUCCCCAGACCCGACGGAGCUCCUCGAGUUUGCCGGCGGGUUAUCCAGGACCGUCAUCGACGUGCACUACUAUGUGUUGUUCAAUAGCAUGUUUGAUACUUUCACCGUGCAGCAGAAUAUCGAUUUCAUCAAGACCAACUACUCAAGCGCUCUUAGCACUGUCACGAAGCAGAACAGUCCUCUCACCUUUGUAGGUGAAUGGGUGGCUGAGUGGCAGGUGCCCAAUGCAACGAAGGAAGAGCUCCAAAUGUUAGCAAAUGCACAAAUGGAUGUGUAUGGGAAGGCAACGUUUGGAUGGGCUUAUUGGACUCUCAAGAAUGUAAACAACCACUGGAGUAUGGAGUGGAUGAUCAAGAAUGGGUACAUCUCCUUGAAAAACUAG
rnacentral:rRNA from 1 species